rnacentral:rRNA from 1 species
AGUGAACGCUGGCGGUAGGCCUAACACAUGCCAGUCGAACGGCAGCACAGUAAGAGCUUGCUCUUACGGGUGGCGAGUGGCGGACGGGUGAGGAAUACAUCGGAAUCUACUUUUUCGUGGGGGAUAACGUAGGGAAACUUACGCUAAUACCGCAUACGACCUACGGGUGAAAGCAGGGGAUCUUCGGACCUUGCGCGAUUGAAUGAGCCGAUGUCGGAUUAGCUAGUUGGCGGGGUAAAGGCCCACCAAGGCGACGAUCCGUAGCUGGUCUGAGAGGAUGAUCAGCCACACUGGAACUGAGACACGGUCCAGACUCCUACGGGAGGCAGCAGUGGGGAAUAUUGGACAAUGGGCGCAAGCCUGAUCCAGCCAUACCGCGUGGGUGAAGAAGGCCUUCGGGUUGUAAAGCCCUUUUGUUGGGAAAGAAAAGCAGCAGGUUAAUACCCCGCUGCUCUGACGGUACCCAAAGAAUAAGCACCGGCUAACUUCGUG